rnacentral:rRNA from 1 species
UACGUAGGGUGCGAGCGUUAAUCGGAAUUACUGGGCGUAAAGCGUGCGCAGGCGGUUUGUUAAGACAGAUGUGAAAUCCCCGGGCUUAACCUGGGAACUGCAUUUGUGACUGGCAAGCUAGAGUAUGGCAGAGGGGGGUAGAAUUCCACGUGCAGCAGUGAAAUACGUAGAGAUUGGGAAGAACACCAGUGGCGAAGGCGGCUAUCUGGACGGUUUCUGACACUAAGACUCGAAAGCGUGGGGAGCAAACAGG